rnacentral:rRNA from 1 species
UGGGGAAUAUUGUGCAAUGGGGGAAACCCUGACACAGCGACGCCGCGUGAGCGAAGAAGGCCUUCGGGUCGUAAAGCUCAAUAGUAUGGGAAGAAAUAAAUGACGGUACCAUACGAAAGCCCCGGCUAACUACGUGCCAGCAGCCGCGGUAAUACGUAGGGGGCGAGCGUUGUCCGGAAUUAUUGGGCGUAAAGCGCGCGCAGGCGGUCCCUUAAGUCUGAUGUGAAAGCCCACGGCUUAACCGUGGAGGGUCAUUGGAAACUGGGGGACUUGAGUGCAGAAGAGGAGAGCGGAAUUCCACGUGUAGCGGUGAAAUGCGUAGAUAUUAGGAGGAACACCAGUGGCGAAGGCGGCUUUCUGGACAGUAACUGACGCUGAGGCGCGAAAGCGUGGGGAGCAAACAGG